UUAUGAGUUUGAUCCUGGCUCAGGACGAACGCUGGCGGCGUGCCUAAUACAUGCAAGUCGAACGAACGGAGGAAGAGCUUGCUCUUCCAAAGUUAGUGGCGGACGGGUGAGUAACACGUGGGCAACCUGCCUGUAAGUUGGGGAUAACUCCGGGAAACCGGGGCUAAUACCGAAUGAUAGAGUGUGGCGCAUGCCACGCUUUUGAAAGAUGGUUUCGGCUAUCGCUUACAGAUGGGCCCGCGGUGCAUUAGCUAGUUGGUAGGGUAAUGGCCUACCAAGGCAACGAUGCAUAGCCGACCUGAGAGGGUGAUCGGCCACACUGGGACUGAGACACGGCCCAGACUCCUACGGGAGGCAGCAGUAGGGAAUCUUCCGCAAUGGACGAAAGUCUGACGGAGCAACGCCGCGAUGUAUGAAGAAGGUUUUCGGAUCGUAAAGUACUGUUGUUAGAGAAGAACAAGGAUAAGAGUAACUGCUUGUCCCUUGACGGUAUCUAACCAAAAAGCCACGGCUAACUACGUGCCAGCAGCCGCGGUAAUACGUAGGUGGCAAGCGUUGCUCGGGGGUUGGUGGGGGGUCCCCCGCCCCGCAGGCGGUCUUUUAAGUCUGAUGUGAAAGCCCCCGGCUUAACCGGGGAGGGUCAUUGGAAACUGGAAGACUGGAGUGCAGAAGAGGAGAGUGGAAUUCCACGUGUAGCGGUGAAAUGCGUAGAUAUGUGGAGGAACACCAGUGGCGAAGGCGACUCUCUGGUCUGUAACUGACGCUGAGGCGCGAAAGCGUGGGGAGCAAACAGGAUUAGAUACCCUGGUAGUCCACGCCGUAAACGAUGAGUGCUAAGUGUUAGGGGUUUCCGCCCCUUAGUGCUGCAGCUAACGCAUUAAGCACUCCGCCUGGGGAGUACGACCGCUAUGUUUUAUUACUUCAUUUGGAAUUGACGGGGGCCCGCACAACCCGGCCGCCACCCAUGCUCGAUUAUUCGAAGCAACGCAAAACCUUACCAGGUCUUGACAUCCUUUGACCACUCUGGAAACAGAGCUUUCCCUUCGGGGACAAAGUGACAGGUGGUGCAUGGUUGUCGUCAGCUCGUGUCGUGAGAUGUUGGGUUAAGUCCCGCAACGAGCGCAACCCUUGAUUUUAGUUGCCAGCAUUUAGUUGGGCACUCUAAAGUGACUGCCGGUGCAAGCCGGAGGAAGGUGGGGAUGACGUCAAAUCAUCAUGCCCCUUAUGACCUGGGCUACACACGUGCUACAAUGGAUAGUACAAAGGGUCGCGAAGCCGCGAGGUGGAGCUAAUCCCAUAAAACUAUUCUCAGUUCGGAUUGUAGGCUGCAACUCGCCUACAUGAAGCCGGAAUCGCUAGUAAUCGUGGAUCAGCAUGCCACGGUGAAUACGUUCCCGGGCCUUGUACACACCGCCCGUCACACCACGAGAGUUUGUAACACCCGAAGUCGGUAGGGUAACCUUUAUGGAGCCAGCCGCCGAAAGGUGGGACAGAUAAUUGGGGGUGAAGUCGUAACAAGGGUAGCCGUAGGG
rnacentral:rRNA from 1 species